CCAUAUCUAGAGUACCAACCACAUGGAGAAGACACCGAAAUAAAUUUGAGUGACCCACCAGAUUUGAAUUAAGUUUUUUUUUCUUUCUUUUCGAUGAUUUGUUUUUUUUUUCUUUUUACUAUUCUUUUGCUAAUUGACAUUAUUUUUGCAUAAGUGUGUUUGUUUAACCAUUAAGUUUUCUCUUAUCAUUGUUAAUCAUGAGUGCCAUAGCUAAACAGUUCC
rnacentral:lncRNA from 1 species